rnacentral:rRNA from 1 species
CUUAACUGUGGGCGUGCGGGCGAUACGGGCAGACUUGAGUACUGCAGGGGAGACUGGAAUUCCUGGUGUAGCGGUGGAAUGCGCAGAUAUCAGGAGGAACACCGGUGGCGAAGGCGGGUCUCUGGGCAGUAACUGACGCUGAGGAGCGAAAGCGUGGGGAGCGAACAGGAUUAGAUACCCUGGUAGUCCACGCCGUAAACGGUGGGUACUAGGUGUGGGUUUCCUUCCUUGGGAUCCGUGCCGUAGCUAACGCAUUAAGUACCCCGCCUGGGGAGUACGGCCGCAAGGCUAAAACUCAAAGAAAUUGACGGGGGGCCCGCACAAGCGGCGGAGCAUGUGGAUUAAUUCGAUGCAACGCGAAGAACCUUACCUGGGUUUGACAUGCACAGGACGCCAGUAGAGAUAUUGGUUCCCUUGUGGCCUGUGUGCAGGUGGUGCAUGGCUGUCGUCAGCUCGUGUCGUGAGAUGUUGGGUUAAGUCCCGCAACGAGCGCAACCCUUGUCCUAUGUUGCCAGCGGGUUAUGCCGGGGACUCGUAGGAGACUGCCGGGGUCAACUCGGAGGAAGGUGGGGAUGACGUCAAGUCAUCAUGCCCCUUAUGUCCAGGGCUUCACACAUGCUACAAUGGCCGGUACAAAGGGCUGCGAUGCCGUGAGGUGGAGCGAAUCCUUUCAAAGCC